CUCUCUGAUGCUCCGCCUCAGUUCCUUCCAGUUUCCUGACCUGAAGGCUUUCUUCUUCUCUUUAAGGAGAACCUUGAUCACAGGGCUAAUCCAGGGCUUGCUGUUAAUAACGAGGUUAAUAAUGAAUAACAGCAGGAAACUGGAUCCUUCUAAUCUGUAAUCUGUAGUGGACUGUAAAUGACGAUCUCUUUCUUUUCUUUUCUUUUCUUUUUUUGGCACGUCAAAUCAGAAUCUGGGAAUUUUUUCGUGGGUCAUUUACACCCAAUGGCUACUAUGAAAAAUUGCUACUUUAUAUGAUGAGGUAACUUAAUAGCAGCCAUGCAAACAAAACAUUAACAGAAGGCCCUCCCUCUGGGGGAAAGGGACGCUCUGGGUGCAGCUCACACCCAUUCCCACAGUCCACACAGAGGAUCCAGCUCACACACUGCAGACAUGAAGCUGCUCACUCACCUCAUCCUGGUGCUGGCAAUGACUGAGACUCUGCACCAGGCAGAAGGUCAUCGGAGCUGCUGCACGUCUUAUUCCAAAGCCCGCAUUGUGAACUCCAUCCAAAAACAUGGAGGAGCGGUGGAGUGCUGGCGGCAGGAGAUCACAGAGCAGUGUAACAUCAGCGCGGUCGUACUCCGCUGGAAGUGCAAGCUGAUAUGCGUGGAUGCCAAUCAUCGCAGGACAAAGAAAAUACUUGCAAAAUUGUGCAACAGGAAAACUCAGAAGAAAGUUAGAAACACCUGCCACCAACAACGGAGGAAGUCCCAAAUUUGACGGCGCUAAAUUCUGCCAACCAUCACGUGUAACUCUGGACCGGCAAUGUGUAAAUAUGUUAAUGAGUUCAUUACCAAUUCACUUUGUUUUUUUGUUUCUGUUUUUUUUAUCAAGUAGAGAGUAAUCUUAUAUACGCUGCUUGCUAACCUAGAUUAGCAAUUCAACUAGAAUAAUAAUAAACUACGUAUAUAGCUAGCA
rnacentral:lncRNA from 1 species